GAAAGGGGCCUGAAACAGAUACCCUGUAAUUUACAUCCCUGCUUAGUGCCUCGGUGAGGAAAGGCGGCCUUUGCUCCAAAUUGGCAUGUCCUCUGCCGGCACUGAGGAGAACUGUACCGGAGAAGAUGUAGGACCUGUGUCAGUGUACUUGAUCCCUGGAUUUCAUCACACAUGACUUCACUGCAACUGCUUUGCUUUACCCCUUGCUCAACAACAAAGAGUCUUUCUAGACGAGAAGAUGUUCAGAGUGAGACUGACAGUGUAUUUCUUCUAUGCCUAACAAAGGGCUACAGUCCUGGCUAAAGGCUCUGGGUGCUGCUGUCACAUGGAUAAUCAUCCAGGG